GUGGGUCAUGAGUCAGCUGGGAAUUGAAGGCAGUGACUGUUGUCAAAUCAAACAAUACUCUGUUGUACGAAAAGACCCUAAUAUCAUGUAAAUGCGAGCACUGAGAUCUUAAAACAAGUGCCCAGACUGUAAACCUACUUAAAUAAUUGAAUCUUUAUUUAUUUUGUAGUAAUAAGACUUGGAGACCACCUCCCAGAAAAUACAAAGUUCACUCAUGGAAUGCGAGAAUUGUUGGCUGGGACAGCAUUUGUUGCCCAUCCAUAGUUUCCUUUGGAAGAUAGUUGUGAGCUGCCUUCUUAUUAGAGUCCAUUUGGUGUGGAUACACCGAGAAUACUGUUAGGGAGUGUGUUCCAGAAUUUUGACCAGCAAUCCUGAAGGAACACCAAUAUACUUCCAAGUCAGGAUGGUGAGUGGCUUGGAGGGAACUUGUAGGUGACGGUGUUUCCAUGUAUCUGCUGCCUGUGCCCUUCUAGAUGGAAGUCAUCAUGGAUUUAGAAGGUGUUGUCUAACAAGCCUUAAUGAGUUUCUGCAGUGCACCUUAUUGAUUGUACACAGCUGUUGGAGGGAGUAAUUCUUUGUGGAUGUGGUACCAAUCAAAUGAUUGCUGUUUUAUCCUGGAUCGUGUUGAACUUUUUGAGUGUUGUAGCUGCACGCUUCCAGACAGAAGAAGCGUUCCAUCACAUUCUUGACAGCCCUUAUAGAUGAUGGACUGACUUUGGGAGCCGGGAGGUUCUCUUGCCCACCUUUGAUCUGCUUCCAUAAAUUAGAUGACAUGUCUCCCAAAUGAAUGCCUCCAGAGUCUCCAGCCAGGGAUUUAAUGGAGAACAGUAUCAGGGCAAAUGACAUCAAGGUGGUGAGUACAAAUGAAACAAAAGAAAAGCAGCUUCUGUAAUGCAGUAGACCACCUCUCCUGGGAAACAAUUGAACCAGAAUGGCCCAUGUGAAGACUAGCAUUGUAAUUUGUUUUAGUUUGCUUUAAGGACCCUAUAUGACAAACUCACAACAUCGGUGAUGUGACCACCUACAGCUGCUCAAGUUCCUCCAAGUAUCAACAACAGCAAAAGCUGUCAGGUCUGUCGACAUCUAUGCCAACUCUGCAUCAAACUUCCAGAACAAGAGUUGAUUUACAGAAGGUAUUUAAAUCACUUACAGCUUACAACCAAUGGGAAAAAUACCAAGAAGGACCAAGUCUCUCAUUUUUCUGAUGUAGGCACAAGGAUGCUACCAACCAAAUCUGAACAUUUGUACAGUGUACAGAAUUCAAAAUACUCAGCCAAACGAAGCUGCCUGACCUGUUGAGCAUUUCCAGCAGUUACCUUUUUUCUGCACAAAUGAAGCUGUGUUAAUUCUUAUUAAUCACUGCCAAGGGAUCACAAGGGGGCUUGAUUUGUCUCAUCUGUAAGAUUGUUUGGCAUUUUGACUCAAGGGCAAGUGUGUUACAAAAACAGAAAUUGCUGGAAAAACUCAGCAGGUCUGGCAACAUCUAUGAAGACAAAUCAGAAUUAGUGUUUCAGGUCCAGUGACGCUUCCUCAGAACUGACACGAAACAUUAAGUCUGAUGUCUCUUCAUAGAUGCUGUCAGACCUGCUGAGUUUUUCCUGCAACUUCUGUUUUUGUUUCUGAUUUCCAGCAUUCACAGUUCUUUCGGUUUUUAUAAGUGUAUUACAGUUUAGUUGAGACAAAAUGAACUAAAAACGGUCAUGAGUGAGCUGGACAAUUGGAUUACUAAAAUAAAAUCGAACAACCAGUGUUCCUGGAAAUCUGAAAGAAAAAUAGAAAAUGCUGGAGAAACUCAGUAGGUCUGGCAGCAUCUGCCGAGAGAAAGACAGUGAUAGGGUUCCACGUUCAGUGACUCCUUUGUCAGAAUGGUCAGAGUUCAAAGAUCUGAAAAAGGACCAAAACAAUAUAUUGCCAUGCAAUUCUUCUUUUUGGAAACUCAAAAACUUUCUUCAUAUUAUUUUCACCAUCAGUGGAAAUUCAGGAAAGGAAAAGGAGCCACUAUAAUGUAUUAUUCAGUGUUUUACAUGUGUAAGGAGAUUGCAGUUUGUGCUUUAAAAAUUACCCUGUGUAUUAAAUCUCGAAGACUUUUAGAUAAUGAUGCCUAGCGGGACGAGCACUAUAUGUUUACACAGAUGUGUACCUAUGUACCAAAAUACAAAAUAUGCUGACAAUAAAUGAUAG